CCCUCACACUCACACAGCCAGCCCUCGGUGUGAGUGUGGUGUGAGUAGGAAGUCCAUGGCCCGGGCUCCAUUCCUGUCGCUCUGCCUCCAUAGUGUGGGAUCAGGCAGAGCGCUGCUCGCUGAUGCAAUGCGGUCUCUCUGGCUGUGAGUUCAGGAGGAGGAGGAGGGGGAGCCAGCGGCUGAUGGCUCAGUGCCAACAUGACCAGUCACCGCGCGCGGGGCUGGCACUCCUAUCCUGGAGGCUGUGCCGAGCGCGGGCAGGGAUCCGGAGGAAGAACUGCUCCAGGAGACAGUGUGCCAUCAUGGGCUCCCUGGGCGUCCUGCUGCUCGGCGCUCUGCUGCUCUACUCCCGGUCCCUGGCCUCCACUCUGCAUGGACACGGCCAGCCUGUCAACACCAGACCUAUCAUUGGUAAGAGACCCGGCCAGGGGCCAGCAUGGACAGGCAUCCCUGGGAUUGCAGGGUGUUGGGUAUCACAAUGUAUCACUGGCUUCCACUGACCAUCUGAGUGUAAUGACUCUGUAUGAUGACCAGGGACCACAGCACCAGAAACAGAUGUGUUGUAGUGAUUGGCCCAUCCAGACAUUAAAAUAUAAAAUGCAUUUAGUAAGAUAACAGGACAGAGAGAGUGCUGAGAGAGACAGAGAGGUAUUGUGAUCCCCAGUCUUCUAAUAAAGAAGCCCAUGUUUUAUUGUAUCACUAUAAAUAGUUACACUAGCAUUUCUCCUUAAUUUACAAUUUCUCUGUUACUAAAGCAGUCUGUUCUUACCUGAUUCACUGCUAGCAAUCAAUUUCUAUUUAUUGUCCUGCUGUUACUAAUCCAGUCUAUUUAUAAAGAAAUCUAUUCUAAAAGGUACAAACCCGAUAAGGAAAGAUGAGUAAACAUGUUCAAGGAGGGUAGUGUAUUUACGUAUUGAAUGACGCAGAACAAAUGUGCUUUUAUUUUCCAAUAGGUAUCAGAAUACAACAUGAUUUGUUUGUUUUUCCUAUCAUAUCUUUUAGCGUUUAACAGUAAGAGUAAUCCUUUGAACGAGCUCUAGUUCAUUUUAGACUUUACUUAAAAAAAAACAUGUUCUUAAGUCAAAGUUUUAUUUAGAGCUGUGUUUACCUGUAAUACAUACUGUGCAGUUAGUCAUUUUUAUAUUUUAGUAUAAAUUAUUCAUCUGGCAGGGGAAAAAACUAGCAGUACUCAAUUAGUCUUGGGCCUACAGGUAGUUAAUCCUAGUACUUUAGUGUACAUGGCAAUUCCAAUGUUAUGUAACGUGUUCUCUGAUGGGUUCUUGUAUUCCUUUCAAACCUGAUUUUCAGAGUUUGUGCUGGUUAUUAUUUGUAACUUUCUGGAUUUGUGAGGUUGACAAUGGCAAAUUGACGGCAGUAAUACAAAUUAUUAAAACACUUGGUGCUCUGUCUGCUUCUUUAAGAUUACAAUAGUAUUCUUUUUUUGGGACAGAUUUUAAGGGUUACGCCAAAGAAAAAGUGUUUUCAUAAAAACUGGUUCUGCUUAGAAUCACCAUUUUUGUGGUGGUUUGCCACUCAAACAAAUAAAGAAAAGAGCUAAACAUUCUAUUUUCCCUGGUUUCAAAGUGAAAUGCUGUACAUGCAGACUCUAGGCAAAUACAUUUUUGGUUGUUGACGCUUACCCUAUACCAGUAAUGGCGAACCUUUUUGAGCCCGAGUGCCCAAACCGCAAUACAUGCAAACUUUUUUUCCCUCAAAGUGCCAACACAGCAAUUAAACCUGAAUACUCAGGUUUAAGUUUAGAAAAAAACAACUUGUACAGUUGUCCGAACUAAUUAACAUCUUUUGUUUUAAAAGAAGAACACAACAACAGAGAGUUCAAUGAUACAAAUUUUAAAUAAUGAUAUAAAUAAUAGAUAAAAUUAAGCUUAUAUUUAUUAGUAUCUCCAACAAAUGCAAUACAUACACACAGACUACUGAAUACAGUCACAGACUGCUGAACACAUUCACACACCGACUGCUGAAUGCAUACACACACACACACACUGCUGAAUACUUAAAGACUACUGCAUACACACACAUACUACAUUGAGGGGUGCAGUGAAUGUGUUGUGUGGAGUGCUGUGUGUGGGGGGGUAGGUUGCUGUGUGUGGAGGGUAGGGGUGCUGUGUGUGGUAAAGAUACAUAAAAAAAAAAAAAAGAAAAAAAAAAUAAAAGAUUGAAGAAUCUUUCUUUAUCCCAAAGAUGGGAGGGGGGGAGGGGACACAGCCAGCCCUGGUGGUCCGGUGGUGCUAAGUAUGUGGCUGGCUGCAGCUUUCCUGUCCUCCUGCGCAAUGCUGGAGGACAGGAGAGCUGCAGCCUGCUCGCGGGAGAACAGGAGAGCUGCUUCCCAGAUCCCUCCCCCUGCCUCCAGGUCCUCUCGACACGAUAGCAGAGCAGGCACCUGCAGGCGUCAGCGUCCCUCUCCCCCUGUGACUUAUGGCCGCAUGCCAACUGGCUUGGCAUGCCACCAGUUCGCCAUCACUGCCCUAUACCAACCCCCUAACCAAAUGCUUGUUGACUGACGGCAUUUCCCCUUGCCUGAAGUGGAGGGAAGGUGGACUGUCACUUCCGUGCGCCGAGAGGGAUGGCAAGUCAAGAGGGGAAUAUUUAUGGGAGGACAUUAAUAGCAGAAGGAGGGAGCUAUACCACUAUUGGCUGUCUAGUGCCAGCAUGCUGUGUCUGCUGGCGUCAGACACCAGUUGUGCACAUUAUUUAUUUUAGCCAGACCAAAACUCUUCUUGACUGUCCAAUGAGGAAUUACACUUUUGGCCAUUGAUGAUCUCAGCUAAUGAGGCGGAGCUGGAGCAGGGAGACUGGCGCUGUGGAGGCUGAAAGGUAAGUAAGGCAUCUUUUUAACCCUAUUUGUAUUCCUAACACCACAGUUUUCCUUUAAAGGAACUCUAUAGGGUCAGGAUCACAAACAUGUAUUCCUGACUCUAUAAUGUUAAAACCACCAUAUCGGUUGCUUGCCCUCUUUAUCCCCCAUAAAAGGUAAUAAAACUUACCUUAUUUCCAACACUGCCUGCGUCUGCUGGUGUUGGCCCCUCCCCGGAUCCGCCUCCUUGCUGACAUCAUCAAAAUGUGUUGUGUUUUUUUUAACCAAUCCAAUGCUUUCCGUUAUGGGGACGGCGCCAUCCACCGGCUUGGCCAAUCAGCACCUACUCAUAGUGAUGCAUUGAAUCAAUGCAUUUCUAUGAGGAAAGUUCAGCAUCUCCAUGCAGAGUGUGGAGACGGAGACGCUGAACGGAAGCAUCUCCAGUGGCAUUUGAGGAGUGGCCACUGGAGGUGACCUUAUGGGGCAAUGUAAACACUGCCAUUCCUCAGAAAUACAAAGAAACAAGUCUUGCGCUCAAGCUCCCAUCACUCCUGGGUGGCAGCAAUGACCAUAGUACACAUCAGCCAAAAUACAUAUAGUAAAAACCAAAGAAAAAGAGUUACCUGCGCUCUUUCCACAUCCCUAUGUAUUUUUAAACAAAUUGAGGUUUUUAGUUACCUCCAAUGGCCAUGAGAGGGUAAGCCCACCUGCCACAUCAAGGCAGAGCUCUCAGGUGGGUCCUAACGCUAACCAUUCACCUUGCUUCUUUGAGCUUCUGGCAAAAAUAUCUCUAAUGAGACAGAAAUGGGUAUUUUUUAUAUACAUCCCUACAUGCUUAUUAACCCUUAAUAGGCAACACAUGGGAUGGGCAGCAGCAUUGCAACCUAGCUGUGUGAUACAAAAGUGAAUACAAAUACAAAGAAACUAGUCCUGCACUCAUACUCCCAUCACUCCUGGGCGGCAGCAAUGACCAUAGUACACAUCAGCCAAAAUACAUAUAGUAAAAACAAAGAAAAAGAGUUACCUGCGCUCUUUCCACUUCCCUAUGUAUAUUUAAACAAAUUGUUUUUUUUUUUUUUCUACUGUACCUAUUAUACCUUUAAUUAACGGAGGUCUUGCUUGUUUCCAGUGCCUCGCAAUGAGAUAGAAGGUGGUGAGUAGAACGUGGGUUACCACCACUUUGUUCUCCCAUAGUAUGUUUGAGGGUAGACCCAGUAGUAAUAGGUGCAAGGGUUUCUUUGGUAUGGCUAGUUUCGCAAUGUCGCUCACCAUGGCAUGUAUCUUUGUCCACAUUUGGAGGAGGACCGGGCAGGUCCACCAUAUGUGGAACAUUGUGCCCUUCUGUGUGUCACAUCUCCAAUACUUAGGAGAGCCAUCUGGGUAUAUGCGUGCUAACCUGGCUGGGACCAUGUACAAUCUCAGUAAACAUUUUCUGUGCAGUUCUAUGUGUGUUGCACAAUGUGUGAGCCCUUUUAGAGCCUGCAGGCACAUUUCCCUCUGUGUAUUUGAAAUGGGCUCCUCGCAGUCUCUAGCCUAUUCUACUGCGUAUUGGCAUUGUUCAAAGGGUUGAUGAUUGUUUAUUAUUAUUUUAUUAUUUUUAUAGCGCCAACAAAUUCCGUAGCGCUGUACAAUGGGUGGACUAACAGACACAUAAUUGAGAUCAGACCACUGACGUACAGGAAUGGGGGGGUUGAGGACCCUGCUCGAUGAGCUUACAUGCUAGAGGGAGUGGGGUAUAGUGACACAAAGGGUUAAAGUAGGGGAAUUAAAUAGUUUGUUACAGAAGGGUUUAUUGAGUGCUUGGUAGGUCAUUUUUGACAGUUGCAGGAAUGGAGUCAUGGGGUGGGGGAUGAGAAACCUGCUGACAGUUUAAUUGAUACGCUUUAAUGAAGAAGUGAGUUUUCAAAGAUUUUUUGAAGAAGUGGAGGCUGGGUGAAAGUCUGAUUGAGGAGGGAAGGGAGUUCCACAGAAUAGGUGCAGCCCUGGAGAAGUCUUAAAGGCGAGCAUCAGAGGUGGGGAUCCGGGCAGAGGAUAGGCGUAGGUCUUGGGCUGAGCGCAGGGGUCUCGACGGGACAUACUUGUGUAUGUGGGAGGAUAGGUAUGUUGGAGCAGCAUUAUGUAGGGAUUUGUAAACAAGCGCCAGAAUUUUGAAUUGGGCCCUAUAUCUAACUGGAAGCCAAUGCAGGAACUGACAGAGUGUGGAAGUGUGGGAGGUGCGACCGGACAGGAAAAUAAGCCUUGUUUAUUGCCUGGUAGCACACGGAUAAUUGUCCCCUCAAUGGGGCAAGUCCCGCACAUAAUUUUUCAAAUCAGGACAUGGGUUUGUCCAGGCCUUCCUGUGAUUUUUGUUCUUUAUUGGAAUCUAAAAAGUGUGUAACUUGGAGGUAUGUGUAUUGCAUGGUCUGAGGGAUGUCAUAUUUCAUCGCCAGCUGUGAGAAUGAUAGCCUUUUGUCCCUGUAGUAAAAGCAGUAGAUGUGGUGGACCCCCACUCGCUGCCAUGCAGCUGCUUUGAAAUGUGAAAUCCAGUACGGUAAAGCAGAUAUUGGUGCGCCAACACCGCUGCUUUAUGGUACAAAAGGAGAUCAGGGACCCCUAUGCCUCCCUCAGUGUAGCUUCUGUGCAGUUGUUUCAUGGCUACUCUAGGUUUUUUUCCUGCCCAGACAAAUCUCGUUAGAUCUUGUUGCGCCUUUUUAAAGAAGGACAAUGGUGCCACUAUUGGCAGUGAAUACAUUUAUUUUAGACUUUAUAGAGGGAGCAUUCCAUAAUCCCUACUUCUACCUUGAUGUUUUGUUUUUUUCCUUGAGUCCAGCUUAGUAGUUAGGGCUAGAAUUAGGUUUAGUGUUUAGGGUUACUACAAUACUUAUCCCCAAAUUCCAUCCUACUUAUAGGUCUGUUGAAUGUCCACAAUUCUCACUACAAACAACUGGGCAAUUGGAAUAAAACCACAGGUUUCAUUCUCUCCGUUGUUCCAGUAAAUAUUACUUUUACAUUAAUGCAUUAUAAAACAAUACAAUUAAAAAAGGUGCACAACAAGAAUUAUCACUUUUCUUUAAAAAGUGGUCUCAAUGCCAGUUUGGAGUAUUACUUAUAGAGAAAAAUUAUAGGGAAAAAACCCUUCAACUGCGCUAGAAGCUGUACUGCCGUUUCGAGAUAUUUCCAUAAACCAAAGACCUAACAAGGCCUUGAUUUACAUUUUUUGGAUAAACUUUUUUUAUAUUCAUGUAUUUAUUUUUGCUGUGCAAAUGAGUACAUUCAGACUUGCGAUGCCACAACAACAAUGGCACGUUUCCGAUCACAUACACUGUGAUAUGUUGGUAUGAUAUAGAAAGUAAUUGCACAAUUUUAUGUGACUAAAAUAACAGCAAUAAUAAAUCAGGCUAGGUCAUCAUGUCUAACUGUCAGGCAACAGUAUAGGCGUAAUAUUUAUCAAAGACAAACUGUAAAACGAGUAAUGCUAGCUGAACAGGAAUCAUAGUUUACUACAAUUGCCACUUAAAGGGAUACUGUAGUGCCAGGAAUACAAAGCUGUAUUCCUGGCACUACUGAUUCCGCUGCCUCCCCCUUCCUCGCGCCCCCUACUACACCCUUUAUUUACUUACCUGAUUGUAGCGUCGAUAUCCCUCGGUGCUGGGUCAAAGCUCCGCCCCCUCAUCCAUCCCGCGACAAUUAGACCUCCCCAUAGGGAAGCAUUGAAUCAAUGCUUUCCUAUAGAGAAAAAUCUGGCGCUGGAGGUCCUCAUGCAGAGCGUGAGGACGUCCAGCGUCAGAUAACGGACCAAAAGUCUAUUUCAAUUCCAGAAGCCCUGUAGUGACUGUCUGGUAGAUAGCCACAGAGAGCAGACUUAGAACUGCAAUGUAAACAUUGCAGUUUCUCUGGAACCGCAAUGUUUAACAUUGCAGCACCAAGUGCAAUAGGGACGCAGCACCCAGACCACUUCAAUGAGCUGAAGUGGUCUGGGUCCCUACAGUAUCCCUUUAACUUUCUAGGUGGUCCUGCUGCACAGGAAACUAAGCAGACAUUAUCAUUUAAAGCAGUGGUUUCCAAACCAGUCCUCAAGGCACCCCUUCCAGUCCAGGAUUUAGGGAUAACCAUGUUGUGUCUUAAGUGUUUUUUGUUUUUGUUUUUUUCUUAUAUCUAAAAACAUCUUAGACACAAAUGGGUAAUCCCUAAAUCCUGGACUGUUGGGGAGUAGUGAUGUCCCGAACGGCUCGCUGCGAACGGUUUGCUGCGGACUCAUCAUUGAGUAAACUUUGACCCUGUACCUCACAGUCAGCAGACACAUUCCAGACAAUCAGCAGCAGACCCUCCCUCCCACCUCCUGGACAGCUCACUAAGAAUACAGCUUCAAAAUGGAUGCGGUCCAGGAGGUGGGAUGGUCUGGGAGGGAGGGUCUGCUGCUGAUUGUCUGGAAUGUGUCUGCUGACUGUGAGGUACAGGGUCAAAGUUUACUCAAUGAUGAGUCCGCGGCAACCCGUUCGGGACAUCACUAUUGGGGAGUACUUGAGGACUGGUUUAGAAACCACGGAUUUCAAGUAAAGAGUACUAAAUAACAUUUUAAUGUAACUUGCAUCAGAAGAAUUUGUUUAAAUGUUUUCCACUGGAACUAAGGAUAUAACUCUACUGCUGCACUACACCAGGUAGAGAUCAUAAGAGUAGGUCAAAUAAAAAUAUUAUCAAAGAGCUUGUCAAAAAUAUUGCAAACGUAAUAAACGUUUAGGGAAGAUCAUGGGAGUAUGUGCAGGAUACCAUCAAUACAGGGCAUCCCUGCGGCCCCAGGCCUGUGUGAAAGCCAUCAUCAUCAUUAGUCUACUGACUCGUGUCUCUCAGAGGUCAAGUCCUUCUCCCACCAGGGGUAGUUGGAAAAUCUGGGUGGUAGCUUGCGCUGGUGGUGUGUGAUCUACCGCCAGGUCGAUGCAGAGAGGCCAGGCCUCGGGACUGAGGUAGGCAAACAGCAGAAUGAUGAGAAUCUUGCAUGAUAGAAACUUUAUUUACAAUUUUAUCCAAAAAAUAUUAAAUCAUUAGAAACACAUAUCUUAAAUCAUAUUAGAUAUUCCUUGUGCUAUUUUUUUUCCUUUUUGUGCAUGUGUUGGUACGAUAUGUAGGUGUCAGAGCACCCGUGCACAUGCCCAUCUUGAGUUGGUAAAGUUGUCCACAACAUGGAAGUACAGGGGAGUACAUUUUUUACUUCCUUUCACUGCUUUAUUUACUCUAGUAAAUGCUGCAGUGACAUUUACUGGAGUAAGGAAUUAUCAUUUGCAGUGCCGAUAACAACUUCAUUGAGUUGAGUGUUCCUUUAAGUCAUUACUACAGUGAAAAACUUACUGAAAUAAAAAAAAUUUAAUAUUUACAAAUUAGUUGUUUUUAUUUCUAACAAAUAUUAAAAUAGUUUUACUAUUGUAAAUAAUUGUAUUGUAUUAUUUAUCAAAACACAGACCUGAAGCUAAUGCACUGGUUUCUAUGGCUAUCCUAAAAAUAUUCUAAAUUGCCCCAUUUCCACCAUCUUAUUUUAGUUGUUGUGCUUGACCUGAACACAAUAACAAUGAGUCCAUUCUGUUGCAGACUGGUUCUAUCAGUUACAGUUGCUCUGAACUUUACAUAUGUUUGUUUCUCAAAGAACCGUGUCAAAUCUUAGUUCAAAGACUGUGGAAGGGUAAUGUUUGAGAAAAUAAUUGUUUUUAAGAUUUUUAAAUGCCAAAUGUCAACUGCAGUGUGAUUUUAAAGGAAUAUGUAUCUCACUCUGUUUUGUCAAUGAAGAGUUUUUCAGUUGAUGCUCUCAGCCAAUCAGAGACUUUUUUGUGUUUCCAGCCUGGACUGUAGUGGAUGUUCAUGAGAGCAGCCAACACGCUCUGUAUUCAAGACUUUGAGGUUACACCGUUUCUGAUAAAGUUGUUAUGGUGCCUCGUCAUUGCAUUCUGUAAUAUAUCCAGAGUAGGAGGUCAUGUUUUUAAAAUGUUACUAUAAUGCUGCCUUGUUAGGUUGAUAGAAUAAUUUUUAUUUUAGGCCUCAAUAAUUAAUAGCCUAAGUGGCAGAAUCUAAAAAGCAUCCAAUCCACUCAAUGUGCCCUCUUGUACAUGCAUUCAUAUUAGAAGCAUUUCUAAACCUGUAUAAUGCUGAAGUGUGUAAAUUGCCAUUCAUAUUACUGCUCCGAACGUUGCUCUAAAUAAAGAGUUAACUUGCCUUUAAUCCAGCGUGAGAUUAUUUGCCACAGUUAUGCUCCACCUCCCCAAGAUGAUCUGGCAAUCUGGUCCUUCUCAUUGCUAGAACAUAAGGUGACUAACCUUGGGCAGACAGGCCUGUACAGCAUGUUCUAGGGCUCAUAUUCUAAGGUGUUAAUAUACAUGAAAUAGACAUAAAUCAGCAGUAUAAAUUAACUGGAUAAAUCAUUAAGGACAUGUUUGUUUUCCCAUGAAUUACAGGACUUGGCAUAAGUACUUUCUUUUGUAUGUAAAUGCUUGUCAGAGAAGUGUUGGUGCGAAGAUAUUAAUUACACGUUUUGUGUAAAUACACAAAUCGUUAACUAUACGUGACGUGCACCACAAAUCAGUGUCCUGAGUCCAUUAACAAAUGUACGUGACUUAUGUUGCCCAUAACGUUAUUUCGUCUCUUAAAUUGUAUUAAAUAGACCUUCUUUCCUUUUACAGAGGUGUUAUUGCACAUAAGUGAAAUGGACAAAUACGGCACCAUAACCAUAACCUGGUCUGAUGGAGUGUCAUGCAGGAAAAUUAUUAGCUGCAUAUGUUCCCAUAAACAUCUGCCCCAAAAAAAUAAAAAAUCAUGGAAGCAGUCAGAGGCUUGCAUCCACUUGCACAGUUCUGUCUUCUUUAUUCUGUUUGUUGUUCCCAUGAAUGAGAAGCAACAUGUGGCUGAAUGGUUCAUCAAUGUGAUUCUUCGGCUCAUCCUUCUGUGAUGCAUUCCAAAGCUUGUAGAUAUCAUUCGGUUGUUUGUAUGCUAAUUAUUUCCUUAAUUUAUAGAAAGCUAUUGGUUGGGUGAGAUAUUUCAGACACUAGGUUGAAGUGGACUGAAUAUAAUCUGAAAACAUGUGAAAGAGACUCGAGACGGUCACAUUGGGGUUUCGAUUUAAUGUAGCAAAAUGUUUAAUAAUAAAGCAUAUGUUAAAUAAAUUAUAUAUAAUAUUGGUAAGCACAUGAUUUACAGAAAUCAUUUGUGUUUUACUUUUGACAUUUAUUUGUCUAAUGGGCAUAUGUUGAUUGUGUUUUGCUGUUGCAGGAAUACUGGCUCAGGAGACACACUUUGAAGAGUUACAAUCGUAUGGGUCAUCGUACAUUGCUGCCUCUUAUGUGAAGACCCUUGAAUCUGCAGGAGCAAGAGUAAUCCCUAUAAAGUAGGUUUUGUGAUUAAGUAGACUUGUGGGUAAACAGUGUGUUGUGGUGUGUUAGGACAUGACAUCACAUGAUAAAUGAGCAGAUCUUCAACUCUGUGCAGUUAGGGUCUCUUUUCACUCCCCCUCCAACAUUCCAAACUCAAAACCCAUUACAGUGCACUGUAGGAGUUAUAGUGCCAGGAGUACCUUUAGAAGUAGUCAGAUCAUUUUAAAAUGUUUUGACUUUUACCUGGGGUCUGCUCCUCAUCUUCACCAUUACAUCUGAUCUUCCAGCUCUCUGUUGGCUGUAGUGGAGUACAGAGCGCUGUAGUGAUUGUUACUUGGAGUGUCUCUUUAAUGAAUUUACCAGAAUUCAUCUACAAGAACUGAGUCCUUGCAGGAAUUAGUUCUUUUGCAUGCCUGAUUGUGUCUAAGGGUUACUCUAACCAAAAAACAGUGUUUUAUUAAAGGUUGUUUUUUGAAUUAUUAAGCCUUACUUGCAUGGUUGUUUCCCCCCCACCCGUCCCAAAAAACGCUGUGAUGUACCAUUUAGCAUCUCCUCAUAGAGAUGCAUUGAAUCAGUAAAUAUCUAUGGAAAAUGUUCAGCAUCUUAAUGCAGAGUGUGGAGACGCUGAACGCUAGUGCUGCACACAGGAAGCACCUCUAGUGGCCAUCUGAGUGAUUGCCACUGGAGGUGUGUAAGCCGUGAUGUAAAUACUGCCUUUUCUCUCAAUUCAAUUAGAUGAAAUGGUUAUAGUAAAUACAGUCAGGGCCGGCCUUAGGUCUUUAGGAGGGCAGUGUAGUGGUAGGUGGGGGAGCAUGGGGCACAUUGGAGGAAGGUGGGAGAGCAGGAGUAGCGGGGUGGUAGGUGGGGGAGCAGGGGUACAGUGGGCAGUAUGAGCAGUCAAGUUGUAGGUGGGGAAGCAGGGGCUCAGUGGGUAGGUGGGAAAGCAGGGGCAUGGUGGGGGAGCAGGGGCACAGUGGAUAGGUGGGAAAGCAGGGGCAUGGUGGGGGAGCAGGGGCUCAGUGGGCAGGUGGGGGAGCAAACCCCCGCCUGCCGAUUAGUUCUGCCCCCGCCUGCCGAUUAGCUCUGCCCCCGCCUGCCGCUUAGCUCUGCCAUUUUUACUAUUUUUGAUAGACCCAUAUGGAGCAUAAUGAAAUCCUCCACCAGGGUGCCGUGCCACUACGCUAAACAGUGCGUCCUGCAUUAUAGUAGUGCUCUGAGCACCCCUUACAGCUGUCACCCAGGGAAUGUGUGAGUUGUGUCGUCUGCAUGGGGCUCCCUACUGCUAAUGGCACCCUUUGUGGUCGCACAGUUCGCACACCCCUAGGGCCGGCCCUGCCUACAGUGUUACUUUAAUGGUAGAGUCUUCUUUUAACUUGCUUGCAGGUUGCCUUCAUGCCAUUCAUACUGAUGUAAUCUCCUGCUAUUUCCUGUAUUUUUGUGAUUAAAGGACCACUAUAGUGCCAGGAAAACAUACUCGUUUUCCUGGCACUAUAGUGCCCUGAGGGUGCCCCCACCCUCAGGGUCCCCCUCCCGCCCGGCUCUGGAAGGGGAAAAGGGGUUAAAACUUACCUUUUUCCAGCGCUGGGCGGAGAGCUCUCCUCCUCCGAUCCUCCUCUUCUCCUCCUCCUGGGCUGAAUGCGCACGCGCGGCAAGAGCUGCGCGCGCAUUCAGCCCGUCGCAUAGGAAAGCAUUCAUAAUGCUUUCCUAUGGACGCUGGCGUGCUCUCAUUGUGAAAAUCACAGUGAGAAGCACGCAAGCGCCUCUAGUGGCUGUCAAUGAGACAGCCACUAGAGGAAAUAGGGGAAGGCUUAACCCAUUCAUAAACAUAGCAGUUUCUCUGAAACUGCUAUGUUUAUAACAAAAAGGGUUAACCCUAGCUGGACCAGGCACCCAGACCACUUCAUUAAGCAGAAGUGGUCUGGGUGCCUAGAGUGGUCCUUUAAGUAACUCCUAGAAUCUACAAUCAUACAGUAAAAAAAAAUCCAGUUAUCUGUUUGCAUGCUUAGUAAUUUCAUGGUAAACGGCUUCUGAAUUACUUUUAGGGAAGGGUUAAUAGUGCAUUAACAUAUUAGGUGAAAAUAAACAGCAUCUUUAUUAUUAUUAUAUAUUUUUAUAUGUACAUUAUUUUUUUUUAUGGUGAGGAUUAUUUUAUAUUUAAUUCUUUUUUGGUGAGAGCAAAAAAUAGAUUACACUGAAAAUAGCAAACUCCCCACUGAUUUAAAAGAAUUCUGGAAUUUGCAUUUGUUCUUUGUGUUCUGUCUUCAGAUAUCAGUAAGAAUGUUUUUACUGAACUGUAGAAUUGAAAUCUAAAAAAACUGAGUUUAUUUGCAUAUUUAUUAUGCCAUAUUGGGAGAAUUGUGCAAACAUGAUCUUUUAGAGCAGACAUUUUGCACUGAGAUACAGGUGAUACUCGAAAAAUUUGAAUAUUUAUUUCAGUAAUGCAACGUAAAGGGGGAAACUAAUAUAUGAGAUAGACGCAUUACACGCAAAGCAAGAUAGUUCAAGUCGUGAUUUGUCAUAAGUGCGUGUAAUAUUCUAAUUUACUGAGAUUGUGGAUUUGGGGUUUUCAUGAGCUGUAAGCCAUAAUCAUCGCACUUAUGACAAAUCACGACUUGAACUAUCUUGCUUUGCAUGUAAUGCGUUUAUCUCAUAUAUUAGUUUCCUCUUUUACGUUGCAUUACUGAAAUAAAUGAACUUUUGCACGAUAUUCUAAUUUUUCGAGUAUCACCUGUAUGUAAGUAACCAUACAUAUCAGAACUGUUUGUGACAAGUACAUUACAUUUCAAAAUUAGUCUAUCUAAAUUAUUUUUUUAUAUUGCCUUUCAGGUAUGACUUAGUGGUUAUAGUGCUUGGAGUGUUUUAUUAAUACUGUAAGUAUUAGCUGUAGAGCAGCUAUCAUAGAGAUGCAACUCUCAUUAAAGAGACUCCAUACCCAUCAAAACAACUUUGGCUUAAUAAAGCAGUUUUUGUAUAUAGAUCAUGCCCCUGAAAUCUCACUGCUCAAUUCUCUGCAAUUUAGAGGUGGAAGCACUUAAGUUUCUGUUUAUGCAGCCCUAGCCACACAUUCCCUGGCUCUGACUGACACAGCCUGCAUGAAAAAAAAAAUGGUUUAAUUUUCAGUCAGAUGUAACUUAUUUUAAAAGUUUUUAUCUUCUGCUCUGUAAAUUGAACUUUGAUCACACACAGGUUCUAGCAAGCUAUUAGAGAAGAAGAUUUGAAAUUCUAAAUUAAACAUAAUUUGCUCUAAAGGAAGUGUAAAUAUUAGAUGACUCUUUACAUGAAGUGUUCAGUAAUGCUAUGCAAGUCACAUGAAUGGAGGUGUUCCUAGGGCUGCAUAAACAAAGUGAUAAAACUCCUAAAUGGCAGAUAACUGAGCAAUGAGACUGCAGUGGUAUGACCUAUACACCAAAACUGCUUCAUUAAGCUAAAGUUGUUUUGGGGACUAUAGUGUUUCUUUAAGUUUGAUCAACCAUAAGACAAGCAAAGCACCAUGGGAGUUGUAGCUUUACAAGACCAGGACACAUUUUGUCUAUCCAUUCUACAAACAGUUUUAGCUCUUAAAGGUAUGUUCUAGGCAACAUAACUACUACCUGUUCUAUUCACCAAAUGGCAGUGCUGUUUCAGGGAGUGUAAUGUUGGCAACUGUACUAUGUAAUCUCAUUUACUUAUAUGUAUUAUUAUUUUUUUUAUAGAAUCAGUCUUCCUGAGGAAGAAUAUGUGAAGAUAUUCAAUUCCAUUAAUGGGUAAGUAUUGACAAAAGUUGUUUUUCAUAUAUUACAAUACACUGAUCAGUCACAACAUUAAAACCACUGAUAUGUGAAGUGAAUAACAUUGAUUAUAUUGUCACAAUGGCAUCUGUUAAGGUUUGGGAUAUAGUAGCAUCUGUAAAACGGCAAGUCUUAUGAGAUGAUACCAGUAUGCAGUGGCUAGUACCUGCAAACAUUGAUUCAGAGAAGGACAAUUGGUGAACCGGUGUCAGGGUCAUGGGUGCCCAAGGCUCAUUGAUGCACGUGGGGAGCGAAGGCUAGCCCAUAUGGUUCGAUCAUAUAGAAGUGCUACUGCAGCUCAAAUUGCUGAAAAACUUUAAUGCUAGCCAUGAUAGAAAGGUGUCAAACACACAGUGCAUGGCAGUUUGCUGCGUUGAGGCUUUGUAGUCACAGACCGGUCAGAGUGCCCAUGAUGACACCUGUCCAACACCAAAAGUUCUUUGAGUGGAGAAGUAAGCGUUAUAUCUGAAACAUGAAGAGAUGGAAGAAGGUUACCUGAUCUGAAGAAUCACGUUUUCUUUUAGAUCAGGUAGAUGGCGGGUGUUCAAUCAAAUUCCCCUACCUCGUGAAAAUCUCCUACCCUCGUCACUUCCGGUGAGGGGAAUCAGCUGGAUCCUGUGCUGCACAUGCGUGCUAGCACUCCUGCUACUAAUCCACAGCAAGGUCCUGGAAGGUAAGUAAAACUAGUUUUACACUUUCAUUACAGUUAGUGCAUUCACUAAGCUUAGGCACACGGGACAUUUAGGGUUAAGUGAGGGUUCAAAUUAGGUUUAGGUAAGUUAUUUUAACCUCUCUCACACUUUAUUCUUACCCUAACCCUUGGGGUAAGGGUUAAAAUAGAGUGAGAGAAAUCCCUAUUUAGUGAUAUUCCCCUAAUGUGAUAUAUCAGUAAAUAUGAACAAGUCCCUAAUCCUAACCCUAAUUUGAACCCUAACAUUAACCCUAAAUGUCCCAUGUCCUAAGCUUAGUGAAUGCACUAACUAUAAUGAAAGUGUAAAACUAGUUUUACUUACCUUCCAGGACCUUGCUGUGGAGAUGUAGCAGCACAGGAUCCAGCUGAUUCCCCUCACCGGAAGUGACGAGGGUAGGGGAUUUUCAUGGGUAGGGAAAUUUGAUAGAACACCGGAUGCAUGUGUGUUGUUUACCUGGGGAAGACAUGACAGAAGGGUGCACAAUGGGAAGGAGAAUUUUUAGGUUCGGAUACCUUGGGUCCUGGCAUUCAUGUGGAUAUUACUUUGACACGUACCAUCUACUUAAAGAUUUUUGCAGACCACAUACACCACUUCAUGGCAGUGGCCUCUUUUAGCACAAUAAUGCACACUGCAACAUUUUUUCAGAAAUGGUAUGAGGAAAAUGACAAAGAGUUCAAGGUGCUACCUUGGAUUUCAUAUUCCCAAUAUCUCAAUCCAAUCGAGCAUCUGUGGGAUGUGCUGGAAAAAACUAAUCUUGUGCUCUUUUGGAGUCCAUGCCUCAAUGCAUAAGAACUGUUUUGGGAGCACAAGGGGUACCUACACGAUAAUAGGCAGGUGAUUUAACGUGGUGGCUAAUCAGUGUAGGUGCUAUACUGCAAUGAAGUCUUUUAGGUGUUCUGUUUUUCAUUAGAAGUUAAAGGACCACUUUAGUGCCAGGAAAACAUACUCGUUUUCCUGGCACUAUAGUGCCCUGAGGGUGCCCCCACCCUUAGGGUCCCCCUCCCGCCAGGCUUUAGGGGGAGAAAGGGGUUAAACUUACCUCUUUCUCCAGCGCCGGGCGGGGGACUCUCCUCCUCCUCGGCUGAAUGCGCAUGCUCGGCAAGAGCCGCACGCGCAUUCAGCCAGUCUCAUAGAAAAGCAUUCACAAUGCUUGCCUAUGGACGCUGGCGUCUUCUCACUGUGAAAAUCACAGUGAGAAGCGCGGAAGCCCUCUAGCGGCUGUCAACGAGACAGCCACUAGAGGCUGGAUUAACCCUAAUAUAAACAUAGCAGUUUCUCUGAAACUGCUAUGUUUAUAGAAGAAAGGGUUAAACCUAGCUGGACCAGGCACCCAGACCACUUCAUUAAGCUGAAGUGGUCUGGUUGCCUAUAGUAGUCCUUUAAAAUAAACUGUUAACAAAAUGUGUUAACUCUCUCAUCCAUGUAUAAACCAUACUUCAUAACAGUCCCGGAUUCAGAGGGACCAUGCCAAGUUUGGCGUCCUGGCCCCCAUCUUGGGUUUAUAUCCCUGAUAUCCCUCUUCUGGUGAAAUCAAAGACAAAUAUUCUUAUAAGGAGAGCGGUGAACAGACACCAAAGCUGUGGAUGUUCAAAACAUAGAAUAAGGGACAUCAAUUAAAAAUGAAAGAUUCUUUAUUUAUAACUACUUAAAUGACUUAAAAUUACCUUCUUAGACAUCUAAGCCCUCAGUUUAUGUCUCCUCACUCUAACUUUUUUUUACCCUUAGCAGCCUCUAUAGUGGGCUUAGCUACCUUCUUUUUGAUAUCACUGUUUGUAGCCAGUGUUGGAGACCAGUGUUUUGAAGGCUUUUUAAGUGGUUAUAAAUAAAGUCUUUUUAGUUUUCAGUUUGUGUCCCUUAUCCUGUGUUGUGAACAUCCACCACUUUGAUGUCUUUUCACCUCUUUUUAUUUACCGUAGGUCCACUUUCUCCACACCGGGUGCCCUUUGCUAUAAAUUCUCUGUGCACAUCAUGAGAUUGACUUUGCAAAACCGAACUGCAUGGGCAACCCUAAAUAGAGCUGGCUACUACAGCUUUCAAUACAUCUGGCGUGUGUUCAUGUGUCCCCUUUUUGUACAGGUUCACCACUUUUGGGAAAUAUCAUUCCCUUGUGGCUCACCCACCACCACACACAGUGUUGGUACAAUAAAUGUAUGGAUUAAAGAAACACUCCAAGCACAAUAAUGACUCGUUUCCUUCUGUUCAUUGUAGCUGUAGUGUUUCAUCUAAAUUGAUGCAACUAAAAACCCACCUCACCAGCUCACAGUUCUCCCAAAAUAACAGAUGAUCAGAAUUUGCUGAGAAAACUUUAUCCACUUGUUAUUGGGCAGAUUUGACUGAACAGGGGUAGAUUUGGUUACUCAUAUUUUUUUUUUUUUUUUUUCAUAUGUAAUGUAAAUAUUAUCACUGUCUUUGCUGAUGAAACAGGUGCAAGAAAACUCUGAAUAUGCCCCAUGGGAAUAACCCUGGUUGCAGUCAUUGGCAGAUGGUAUGCCAUUACUACUAAUUUAGAGUCCAGUAGAUAAUAAACAUAUGCACAAGUACCUUUCAGCUGACCUGAAUCAAAUGCCUAUCUAUCUGUGGACAAAUUAUUUGAUGUGUUAGGCAAAUCUUAACAAAUUGAUUUGUUCGUCCACAGAUUGACAGGCAUUUGAUUUGUUUGGCGCAGUUGAAUGCUAUUAAUGCACAAGUAGUAGAUAAUGUAGACUUGUUAGAAGUAACUUUUAAGGACUUAUUCACUAAACCUCAAACUAUAAUUGAAAGUUGAUUUGAAAAUUAAGUCAAUAACAAGCUGUGACAAUAGCUGAACUAGAUAUUUUUUUCUAAAUCUGCACUUUGUACAGAUUUUUUUUAUUUGCUUAAAACACUGAGCAAAGCCAAUGUUCAGACCAGUGUUUGAGAAACAUUCUAUGUUUCCCAGAUUUCUUGAAUUUUAAAUGUCCAAAAGAGGAACUUCACUUCCCUGAUUUUAACACAGACAAAUCGCUAGCUAAAAGUUAGUUAUUGGUGUGCUCAUUGUAAAAAAAAAAAAUUUAAAUAUAUAUAUAUAUAUAUAUAUAUAUAUAUAUAUAUAUAUAUAUAUAUAUAUAUAUAUAUAUAUAUAUAUAUAUAUAUAUAUAUAUAUAUUCAUAGUUUGAUUUAUUUUAAUUUUCAUGAUUUGCCGGGUAAUACAAGGCAUUAGAUGCAAAUUAGAUCCAGCAGUGUCGUACACACAACACACACAAUAAGUAGAGGGUCUCUAGAAGUGACAGUUCUUUAGUUAUACAUAAAUUUGCUGCCUCACUGGUUAAUGCAUUAACACAUUUUGGUGUUUAUUCACUAAUCAAUUCAUUGGGGAGGUAAUAUAAACCAAAUUUGGGAAAAUAUUGGUCAAAGUAGCUGAUUUGCAAAGCCAGCUGAAUUUGAUUUAGUUGUUACGAACUAAAGUUUGCAGUAUGGUUAAAAAAUUCUCAACAAUACUGUGUUUAUUGAAUGAACUGCCAUGCAAAGCUAAGUGCACUGACCGGUGUUUGGGACCCUUUUUGUGUUUCCUAGAUACCUUAAAUGUUAGUUUUUGUAAUUUAAUACCAGAAAUCAUGAUGACUGAAUAUGUUAAGGAAUUAGAGCAUUAAUAAAUCUCAUUGAAUUCAAAGAACUGUAAUUUAAUUAUACUGUAAAUAAUUUAAUUUCUUCACUAGGUAAUACGUUCAAACUUUAAGAUAAUAAACAGAAAGCUAAACUGUAAUAUUGAGGGCAAAACACAGAACUUUACUGAAUUUGAGAAUUUGGCAUAAAAUUUGCAUUUUAGUUUUCAGUACUCUGCAGAUCAUUGUUUACUUGAUAAACCAUUGUGGGUUGUUUUCUUGAAAUUUUAUUUGAAAAAUAAAAUUUUCUUGCAUUUUAGGAUUCUCCUUCCAGGUGGUGGUGUUGACCUUAUGCACUCUGAAUUUGCUAAAGCAGCCAAGAUAUUUUAUAACCUGGCUCUAAAGGUACCAUCUUACUGAAAAUGACUCCUUCUUCUGUGUAACACUAUCACAAAUCAUUGUUUCGUUUGUUGUGCGUAUGACAUAUCAAUUUAGGAAGAGUACUGAGAGUGAAUUAUCUAAUAGAUUCCAAAGUUUCAGGUAGGUGUGUGUAUAGUUUAUAUAUUUUACUGUAGGAAUAGUCAGCAAAUUAAUGAAUUAAAAAUUGUACUUCUUAAAGUAGUCAUCUCAUGCACCCUGCCUGGGAUGACCACUUGAAACAAAUAUAAGUGCAGCAUUUUCAUCAUUAUAAAAUGGAACUAUAUCAUAUUGUCUAUCAAAAGCGCCUCUAUUAUAAGUUGUGUGCUGGACUUUUUUUUUUUUUUUGUGCAUGACAUUGUAUAGGGUUGGUUUUUGAGCUUUGUUACCUCCACUGUCUCAGAAAUCCCAGAGAAUAAAUUGCUUCACAAAUAGCAACAUUUCCUUUGUAACAUAUUCAUUUUGCCUCAGGCCAAUGACAAUGGUGACUAUUUCCCGAUCUGGGGAACAUGUUUGGGAUUUGAAGAACUAACUUAUCUUACAAGUGGGGAACUGUUACUAACGUUGACCGAGACAGAAGAUGUUUCAUUACCUCUCAACUUCAGUCAAGGUGUGUAUAAACAUUUCUACUAAAUGUUCUUACAUAGAUAUCUGAAUAGGAGUGUCUUCAUUUUUAAAACAAAUUAUCCAUAUGUAAUGCAUAUUUAAAGAUGUAGAUAUAGGAAAUUAUACAUUGGUCAGUGUAGAUAAAAAUAUACUAAAUAAUGUGUUAGGAGUUUAAGAUUUUGUGCUGAUGAUCAUCAGCUGUGUGAAGGGGUAUACAUACAUGUCCAGGUAAGGAGGGAUUUCCUUGAGAACGGUAGUCAAGUAGUGUGCCGAAACAUUGGGGGUUUAGUUGCUUGUGUCCUGCCCUGGUAGGCUAUUGAUGGCAAUGGCAUUACUUUGUUGUAUAUUUUUGUUCACUGCGUCUUGUUUUGUACUUAUUGUAGGUUUUUUAUCUUGCAUUUAUGUGAAUAAUCUCUGUAGCUGUGGCGUGCUUCCUGGUUUUUGUACUUAUAGUGCCAGGAGUGUCCUUACAUCCCCACCAUUUUAAGGAGUCAAAUUAUAUUUAAAAGGCUUAGAUUCCUACCUGGGCUCUGUUCCCUGUCUCCACUACUAGUAUCAGAGAGCCAGAAGUUCUUAAUCGCUACUAUGUCUUCUGUUGGCUAAGCAUGACCUAGCUCAUUAGCUGAGAGCAUCAGAUGAUCACUCUAGAUGACGCACCAUCUAGGACUUGAUGAUGCUGGCAUUGUCCUUUAAACAUAAUUCACCUAUCAGUCACAGUAACAAUUCUUUAGGCACUUGUAAUUUUUGUAAAUGUAUUUCUUUUGUAAGUGCUUAGAAUAACUACUGUCUGAUAUCUUGGGAAAACCAUGUAUAAUGUCACGCUUAUAUGAUCUUUACACCUAACGCAAAUGUUUAUCUUUUAAUCUUUAUGUAUUUUCCCAGAUGCCUUAAGAAGCAAGUUAUUUAGAAAUAUUCCAAAGGAUCUGUAUGAUAAUCUUUCCAAAUUACCCAUAACAUCAAACUUUCACUCCUGGAGCUUGUCUAUGCAGGUACAUUGCGUGUUAACAUUAAUUGGCUUUGAAUGAUGGGGAGGAGAGCACAUUUCUAACUCAUUACAUUGUGAAUCUGUGCCCAGAAUCUGUGCCGAGACUAACACAGCCUCCCUACACACUUCCUGAAAAAUGUUUGCCUCCCUCAUGCUUAAUGUACAAAUUAAAAUAUUUUAGCAUUAAUUAAAGGUCAAUGAAUAGUGAUGUCGCGAACGGUUCGCCACGGACUCAUCAUUGAGCAAACUUUGACCCUGUACCUCACAGUCAGCAGACACAUUCCAGCCAAUCAGCGGCAGACCCUCCCUCCCAGACCCUCCCACCUCCUGGACAGCAUCCAUUUUACAUUCAUUGUGAAGCUGCAUUCUUAGUGAGCUGUCCAGGAGGUGGGAGGGUCUGGGAGGGAGGGUCUGCUGCUGAUUGGCUGGAAUGUGUCUGCUGACUGUGAGGUACAGGGUCAAAGUUUACUCAAUGAUGAGUCCGUGGCGAAACGUUCGGACAUCACUAUCCAUGAACAAAGUAGGAAAUAUAGUUUAAUGCAAACUCACUGUGCUGUAAUUUCUGAUUGAAACUUAAAGGGACCCUGCAGUGUAAGGAAUAUAAAUCUGGCCUCCCUUUAGUCGCUUUCCCGAUUUCAGCACCGAUGUCCCUUGGUGCUGGCUUGGCGCUCCAUCUCUUCCGUCAUCCGAUGGGGGAGCUAAUGCGUAUGUGCUACAAGCACAGUAAGCCCUCCCCAUAGAAAUGCAUAGCUUCAAUGCUUUCCUAUGGGGAUUUUACUGACACUGGAUGUCCUCACGCAGAGCAUGAGGACAUCAGACAGCCUAAAGUCAGUUAGAAAGCAGGAAGUGCCUUUAGUGACUGUCUGAUUUACAGUCACUAGAGGCAGUGUUAGCCCUGCAAUGUAAUUAUUACAGUUUCUCAGAUUGUCAAACUAGGAACCUUAACUUACUCUUUCUUUUGGAGAACAUUUUCUCCCCAUAGCACCCAAAGAAGCAGAGCAGUGAGUAACGUGUGAAACAGUACUUAAAGGGGCACUCCAGGCACCAAUACAACUUUAAAGCAUUUGAUAGGUUUUGGGCUCAUCAUUAUGCUGUAUUUUUUCUGCACGCUUAAAUGUUUAUAGUUUUUGGAUAAAAUAAAUCAUUUGGAUAAAAUGUUUUGCAGAAUGCUGUACCAUAAGCCUAAAAGCGUAAAAAGCACAACCUAAAAAAAUAUAUAAAGGGAGACCAAUAGUGCAGACUAAAAAAUAAAAACCAAAUCUUAAAAAUAUAUAAAAAUGCACUCACAAACGUAGAUGUUAAUAGGCAGGAUAUAAAAAGUCUUCUUAAAGUGCUUCGUCUCUUCUUAGUUGUAGAAAUAAAUGCUUAAAACAAAGCAUAAAGACAGACCAUAGUGUAUAACUGUAUAAUAUUAAAAAUUUUAAUUUUAUUGGAUACACUUACAAAAUAACAGUAGUUAUCAGGCUCUUCAAAUCAAAUACCGAUGUCUUCCAUCAAAAUAAUAACCCUCAGGAUACACAGAAGAAUGUAGACAGGGGAGAUGAAGAGAUCCACAGUAAAAUAAUAACAAAAGCUUGCCACCCUACGCGUUUCGUCUAAAUGACUUCAUCAGGGGCUUGUAGCAAUACAUUUUUCUGUAUUGCUACAAGCCCCUGAUGAAGUCAUUUAGACGAAACGCGUAGGGUGGCAAGCUUUUGUUAUUAUUUUACUGUGGAUCUCUUCAUCUCCCCUGUCUCCAUUCUUCUGUGUAUCCUGAGGGUUAUUAUUUUGAUGGAAGACAUCGGUAUUUGAUUUGAAGAGCCUGAUAACUACUGUUAUUUUGUAAGUGUAUCCAAUAAAAUUACAAUUUUUAAUAUUAUACAGUUAUACACUAUGGUCUGUCUUUAUGCUUUGUUUUAAGCAUUUAUUUCUACAACUAAGAAGAGACGAAGCACUUUAAGAAGACUUUUUAUAUCCUGCCUAUUAACAUCUACGUUUGUGAGUGCAUUUUUAUAUAUUUUUAAGAUUUGGUUUUUAUUUUUUAGUCUGCACUAUUGGUCUCCCUUUAUAUUUUUUAAGGUUGUGCUUUUUACGCUUUUAUAUUUAUAUUGAAGACAUUGAGGAGUCUUUGCACUUCCUAUUUGGGGUAUUUAUAUUUUAUACAUUUUCCCCGUUUGAUAGCCACAAGGGUUGUUUUGUAGUGUUUGAUAUUCACUAUAAUUUGUCUGUAUAUUGUACCAUAAGCCUGACUCCUAAGCCACACCCCCUCACUCCAGAAAAAUACUUCCUAAUCAAACAGGUAUGCAUACAGCUCAGCCACUGACAGUGCUUAAUGAGCUGAACAACAAAACAGCUUGCAUUAGAAGAGGACAGCCAGGGAGGCAUAUAGUAAGGAUAUCACUGGGCGUUUGCAGUUUCUCUGACUGUCUGCAGUCAGGUUGUGAAUGAAAAACUAGGGAUCGACCGAUUAUCGGCCGAUAUUUGGUAUUUACGAUAAUCCUGGGGGGGCCCGCAGCAAGCUCUUACCUUCCCAGCAGCUCCCUUCAGCUCCACUGUGUAAAUCUUGCGAGUCCCAAUUUACACUGGGGAGCUGCUGGGAAGGUAAGUAAGCACUUGCUGGGCCCCCUCUGCACAGUCCAUGUCAGGGCUUACCUGAGUUGGGAGUCCGGCAGGCAGAGAUAUAUGCUCACCCUUGCAAGUAAACACAGGCCGAGGUGGUCAGGUAAGAAUUCACCCGGCCUGUGAGCCGGUGCACGGGGGCUGUGCAGGAUAAUUCUCCAAGCCGCAGUACAGGAACGGAUAAAGCAGGAGAAUCGUCGCGGGUAAGCCAGAGGUCAGAGGGUGCCAGAAAUCAGGAUUAACAAGAAGAAAGCCAAGGUCAGAGGAUGCCAGAAGUCAGUAUAUACGGAGUAACAAGCCAAGGUCUGGAAUCAACAGGAGCACACUGGAACACAAACAGCAAUACGGAACCAGAGUCAAGGAACUGACACUGCCUUCUGGGAGAGGCAGUGUUUUAUACCUGGCUAAUUAGACUAUCAUCUACAGGUGUACCAAGAGUGACAGGAGUAAUUUCAAUUCAUGUCCAGCCCCAGUGCUGGAUACUAGACAGGGCAGGAAUAAACUUCCAGGCUGAAAGGCAGAGACACAGACCAGGAAUGCACAAGACCUCAGGUUCAAGUCCCCUGUUGGGCUCUUCAAGGGCGACCGUGUCUCCCUGUCUGUAUGCUGCGUUGAUAACUGUGACAAUGCCACUGGACCACCAGGGAAUGCCAUAUACCCACUCCCUGGCCAAGUAAGAUGCAGGGGAAAAAAAAUGUAUAUAAAAAAAAGAAAAAUUGUAUUUAAAAUACCUCCCCUUCCCCCCACCCCCCAUUUUACACAAAUUACAUACCUACAAAAAAAACAUACACACACACUGCAUUAUAUACACACACUACACAAAUAAACUGCAUUCACUAUGCACACACUACACAAACACACACAUACUCUGCAUUCAUUAUAUACACACUACAAAAACACACAUACUGCAUUCAUUAUAUAUAUAUAUAUAUAUAUAUAUAUAUAUAUAUAUACACACACUACACACUGCAUUCACUAUACACACACUGCAUUCACUUUACGCACACUACACACACUGCAUUUACUUUACGCACACUACGCACACACUACAAUCACUAUAUAUACACACUACACAAACACUCACUGCAUUCACUAUACACACUACACAAAUACACACUGCAUUUAAUUUAUACACACUGCAUCCACUACACACACACUAUACAAAUACACACAGCUCCCCUGUCUAAACACACUGCAUCCACUAUAUGUGGCAUACAUAUUUUGUGCAUUUACCUUUAGAAAUAGUUUUUUUUUUUUCAAAAUGGUAAAUGUACAGAAUAUCGGUAAGUUAUCGGCUAUCUGCCUGAAAGUCCACAGAUUAUCGGUAUCGGAUCUAAAAAAUCAAUAUCGGUCGACCCCUUAAAAACAGCUCACUCCGUGCUGUUGGGUUGAGAAUGUGAGCAUACCUCUGACAAUAAAUCUUUGUGGCUUGAGGGUGUGUAGCUAAGAAGGCAGGUGUAUGGUGCAUCAUUCUGCAAAACAUUUACUUUAUUUUAUUUUUUGCAAAAAUUAUAAAGAUUUGAGAAUGCAAAAAAAUACAGCAUAUUAACAAGUCCAAAAUCUAUCAAAUGCAUUAAAGUUGUAUUGGUACUCAGAGUGUUCCUUUAAACUCAAAAUUGUGAAACAAAUUAUUAUUUGCGUCACUGAUCUUAGGAAAACAAUUAUGAUAAUCUUACAGCCCUUGUAAAGUAUAUAACACACUACAUGUAUGAAAUGCUUCCAUGAAGAUAGAAUGUUAUCUUUUAAAAUAGUUGAUGUAGAUUUUUUUUUUUCUUAUCAAAACCUUUUGUUUGAUAGAAAAAAUUAAAUAUUGUGUGCCACAAACUGUUGGUUGUUGUUAUAUUCUUAUAUUUAUGAAAACUGGAAUUUGCUGUAAUCUGACAAAUGGAAACUACCUAAUUUUACAAGCUCGAUAAAUUCUAAUAUUAAAGUUCCAUUGUCUAUACAGAAGCAAAAAGGGAUUAAAACAAAUGAUUAUGUAAUAAUACUCGCUGUACGAGAAGACUUUGUAAGUAUUUAAUUAUCCCAUUUCUGUACAGCUUACCAUUUUUUUUUUUUUUUUAGUCCUUGUGUAUUCUGUUGCUUGAAGUACUGCUAGUUAAGCUUGACUUGCGUUAAGGUGGCAUACUCCCAUCGAUUUACCAUUUGUGGUUAUGUCUCUUUUGUUUUCUCUGCAGAAUUUUACAGCUAAUGAGAAAUUGAAAAAGUUCUACAAUGUUUUGUCAACAAAUUCUGAUGGCACAGUGGAAUUUAUUUCUACAUUUGAAGGUACUUUUUGACCUCUCAGCCCACCUGGCUUGUACUUAUUUAAUAAUGCAGAUUCUAUAUUUCUUUAUACCAUGUUGCUAAAAAGUAAAAGGUAAACAUCUGGAAAUCCAAAAUUACAAAACAACAAACCCACUUUGAAUGCAAUUCCAGUGCGUUUGUAAAAAGGAUAACCAACAUCAACCCAUCUGUGUGUCAACCCAUCAACCCAAUGUGUGUCCAACUCGUCUUGUUACAAAUAAAUCUCUGUUAGUCCAGUUAGUUAGUUGGCGCUUUAUAAAUAAUAAUAUCCUUAAAAGUAGAAAUGUUGUCCUGUAUAUUAGGCUGUGCUUGCUUGUAUAUUGGUAUUGGAACUAUGCAGAUGGAACCCUCUGUGCAAUCUAUCUGCAUGGGCGUCCAGAUUUUUCCAGGGGGUGGGGGGGGGGCAUAAUUGUAAUGACAUCCAUGAUGCCUGGUCCCUUUUUGACAGUGUCAUGAAAGGGAAGGGGCAUAGUCAUUAUCACAUAAAGCCAGGGUGAAUAGCGUUUUCACAACUAUAGUGUCAGGAAUACAUGUUUGUAUUCCUGACACUAUAUUGUUCAUUUAAGCAAAUUCAAGGAACAUUCUGGUAACCAUAACAACUUCAUCUAAAUGAAAAUGCUAUGAUGCCAGGAAGUCCCUGGGUGCUCUCUUUCCUUUAAGGGGUUAAACUGCUCUCAAAUGGUUGAACCCCAAAGGCUUCCUCCAGCUCCAGGUCACUCAGUGGUAUUCGGCUUCUGAAACGGAGUGUCAGGCAGUGCAGAUUGAUGUCAGGCAUGGGUGCUGCAGAUUGGCUAGAGUGGUCAGUUGACUCUCUAAGCCAAUCGCUAGUUCCCAGUUCAUAAAAAUGUUUUACUUUUUUAUCAAUGGGGAGCUACUGAUUGGCUUAGAGUGCCAGCUGACCGCUCUAGCCAAUCAGCGACACCCCUACCCAGCGGCACUCUGUGCUUCGUGACACUCAGUAAAUAAAAACGAACACAUUAACACUGAUAUUUUUUUUUACCUGUGGAGAUGAGAAGGUCCAAUGUUUCCCUGCUAGACCAGGUACCAAAGCCUUACGAUGUGGUGUCACUUCAAUUGUCCUUCCUGCUCCAAUCUCCUUUUCUUCUCCUUCAUUUGACACAGCCUUCUUUUUCUUCUGAUACAGUCUUCUCUCCUCCGUGGUUCCUUCUGCUCCUUUCUGCUUAUUUUCCACUCUUCUGAUCCUUUCUCUUUCUGAUCCCUUUCUGCUCCUUUCCCUACUUUACCUUUGUGCUUCUUCUGAUUCUUUCUGCUCAUUUACCUUUGUGCUCUUUCUGUCCCUUUCUGCUCUUUGUAGACCUUUCCUUCUCCUUGCAGACACUUCCUUUUCCUUGCAGACACUUCCUGCUCCUUGCUGCCCCUUCCUGCUAAUUUCUGCUCCUUCUCCUACUUUACAUUUGUGCUCCUUCUGCCCCUUCCAGUUAAUUGCUGACCCUUUCUGCUCCUUGAUGUCCCUUCCUGCUCAUUUCUGUUCCUUCUCCUACUUUACCUUUGUGCUCCUUGCUGCCCUUUCCAGCUCCUUGCUGACCCUUUCUUUUGCUACUUCUACUUCUACCUUUGUGCUGCUUUACCUUCCAGCUCCUUGCAGACCAUUCCUGCUCAUUGCUGCCCAUUCCUGCUCAUUUCUCUUCCUUUGUGCUCCUUCUCCUACUUUACCUUUUGUGCUCCUUGCUGUCCCUUCCAGCUCCUUACUGCCCCUUUCUGCUCCUUGAUGUCCCUUCCUGCUCAUUUCUGUUCCUUCUCCUUUCUGAUCCUUCUCUUACUUUGCCUUCCUGCUCCUUGCUGACCCUUCCUGUAGGCUGUCUCCCCCAUACCUCAAUUACCUGAUCUAUAGGCUGCCUCCACCAUCAAUCACUUACCUAAUUUGUAGGUGGAUCCCCCCACCUGAUCUGUAUGCUGCACCCCCUCCCUCACUUCCCUGAUCUGUAGGCUGCUCCCCCUCCCUCACUUACCUGAUCUGUAGGCUGCCCCCAUUUCUCACUUACCCGAUCUGUAGGCUGCCCCCCAUCCCUCACUUACCUGAUCUGUAGGCUGCUCCCCUCCCCCCACCAUGUCUCACCUACCUAAUCUCAGGGCUGGCGCCCCCACCGCAUACCUGAUCUGUAGGCUGCCCCACCCCCAUACCUGAUCUUUAGGCUGUCUCUGCAAUCUGGGAGUUGAUGUGCUGCUCCCCUGUGGAUUCAAUCAGGAGAGAGAAACAGGGAUAAGAUGUAGCUUCCUAUCCCUGUUUCUCUCCAUACACAGCGCCACCUACUGGCCGGCACCGCUAUUGCAUUGUAUUUUCAAUCUCACCUGAAAAAUAGCAGAACAAGCUGAAAAAUCCCCUCCUGCGGACGCCCAUGUCUAUCUGUCUUAAUCUUUCUCAUAUAUACUUUCUCUUGGAUUACACAUUUUCCUUCUAAAUAUGCUUGUUUGGCUAUUUGAUCUUGUUUUCGUUUAUACAUAAAGACAUAAAUAUGGAAUAUGAUCCAUAAAAGAUUCUGGGUUUGUCUGGUAAUUGGAAAUGCAAAUUGUAGGUAGAUUAAAGGGACAUUCUAAGGAUGAUUAUUAUUAGUGCACAAUGUUUUGUAGUGGUUAAGGAAUUUUAGGGUUCGGCACCUCUGUUUUUUGUCAAACUAUUUGAGCGGUGUGACAAAACGUGAGGAUCCACAGAACCCAAAGAUCAUUCCCGCUCCUGAGACUGUAGAAAAAUUUCACUUCUUCAAUAGCCAUACAUAAUAAUAAGAUUGCAAGGAAAGGUUGCAGAGGCUGGGGGUUUCAUGUACUUGUCUUCAACUAUGUUGAAUGUUUUAAUCAAAUUAUAUGAUAUGACAAUCCAUUAAAAAUGUUUAUUCCGACUGUGACCGUUUACUUACCUGUAAUCCAAAGCACAUCAAAAUCUCAACUUUAGCAACUGGUGUACAUUUUCCACAUCAUUUUGCUAAAUGCUGAUGAAAUUGUAAGUUUUACUCACUGGGAGUAAGUGUUUGCAUAUUCAACGUUCAGAAAGCUAAAGUGGUUAUGGUGCUUAGUGUGCCAAUUUGUAAUGGGUCACUCUAAACACAGUAACAAAGUUGCAGCAUUGCAAAAUAUAUGAUGCAGGUCGUAUCCCCCUCUCAUUCUUAGCUCUAAAAGUGGUUUCGAUCUGCAGCGAUCUGUAAAAAUUUGCGGCAGCUAUUAGACAACUCUUCUCUGAUAAAAGGAGUAUUUAUGGGCUUCCAAUGCAAAUUGUGUCCAUGUUUCACAUGCAAUGUGCCGAGUGCAUAUUGUCCACAUUUUAUCUAUCUAUUUUUUUUAUUCCUGAUUUUUGUUUUGAUAAAAAAAAUUUGUAUUUCUCAUUUCUUUAUUAAACCAAUCCUCUUUAGCAUAUGAUUAUCCAAUCUAUGGAGUUCAAUGGCAUCCUGAAAAAACUGCAUUUGAGUGGAAGAAAACAUCUGAAAUAUCACACACAGCAGAGGCGGUGUAUGUAGCAUUUUAUAUGGCCGAGUUCUUUGUUAAUGAAGGUAAGGCAUGUAAUAGACUUAUAUACAAUGCACUUUUUUAAAAAUGUUUACGUUUUUUCUUUCUAAAUAUGUAUAAACUUGUUUUAAAAGCAGAUCCGUCAUAUAGCUUUCUAUAUGUUAGUUGUGCUUUUUUUCUAAUUGCCAAUAAUUUUAAUUUUAUAAUGUUUUUGUACAAAAAUCUAACUUUCUAUAUAUUGUUUUAAACUGAUUUUUAGAAUUUAAAUUGCUUGCCUAGUUGUCCUCUAAAUGCUUGCCUAGUUGUCAUCUAAAUCAACGUAACGCAAUCCAUUCCAUGCAUGCAGGCACAUGUAUCUUUAUAGAGGAAUUGCCCAGGCAUGAUUGACAUUUCUCUGCUGAUGCCGGAGUGCAUACACUCAGAGCAUUAUGAGGUGGUUGUAUCUCCUGCCUCUUGUAGUACAGAAAUGCUAUGGAAUCAGUGCAGUGUUGUACUAGUGCAGGGGUGCCCAAAACAUCCCCAGAUGUUUUAAAACUACAGCUUCCAUGAUGCUUUGUCAUUCUAAAGGUAUUCUGAAGGCAUGCAAAGCAUCAUGGAACUCGUAGUUCUACAACAUCUGGGGAUCUACCUUUUGGGCACCCCUGUACUAGUGGGUGCUCAAAGUGAAAAGUAUACCUUUUUAUCUGUAUAUUAAUUUUAAUGUGUAGUCACAGAACCAUAUACAGUCAAGAAAAUAUUGUAUUGAAAUGUAAACUGCACAUUUUGUAUAAAGCAAUAACGGACGGUUAAUACCAUAUUUAAUUAGUCAGCAAAUUGUAAUAAAGCUGAAGGAAUUCAUCUAGCAGUGUCUCAUUCUUUGUUCGCCAGAAUAAUACUCACAGCAACAAGGGGUGUGGGGAUACCUAGGAAGAGGGUGUGGGUGGUCACAAAGCAGAGGGCAAGAAAGAAGCUGCCUCUCCCCACAGGCCCUGUCCAGCUAGGCCAGUCAACUCUGCCGUCCCUAGAUCAGCAAAAACCACUCAAUAGCCAGAGCUUGAGCUGGAUUAUUGUCGAUUUGAUCUUGAGUAUUAUUUAGAAGUGUAGCAAUGACUCAAUAGUUUGGGGAAAUAUUAGAAGUUUGAAUAUAUUAAUAAUUUAGGAUGUAAUUAUUGUUUGAUCUUAUCUGUACACUUGUUACCAUUUGAAUAUAAAUAGGAAUAGCUCUGCAAAAUGCAAAGCUGUUGCCAUGACAAAGUCACAUUAAGCCACCAACAAGUUUGAGUAACUUUUUGUCUUGAUAAUUAAGCCAUCGCCUAGGCAUUCUAAUUAUAUAUUUCAGCUCUUUUUUUUUUUAUAAGAGCCAAGUUCAGAAAACGAAAGUGAAUGAUUUCUAUUGUUUUGUUAUUUUUCUUUAAACAAUCUAAACAAAAUUUAAAGUCUGCACUUUAUGUACUAUAACAACCUAUACUCCUUCAAUUAAAUGUGAAAUGAAGUCCAUUAUGUCUUUCUCCAAUUAACAAAGAUUGAGGUUCUUCAAGCCCUAUUCAUUCCAGAAUUCCAAUGCCAGUAAGGUCUGACCUCAGUUAUGUUCACGAGAGCGGUAAAGACGUGUUAUUUAGACUACCUUGAUAUCAUUAUUUUAAAACACUUUGUUUUGACAUAUAUGAGAUUCAUUCUUUUUAGUACCUUUGCUUCCAUCUUUACAUCAUUCAGCUAUCAAAAUUUUGCUGAAAUACCAAAAAUCAAACAAUAGAAAAAAAACCCUGUAUAAAUGUUAUUUUUUUUUUUAACGAUCAGCUGCUCUCACUCAUAGUCAUUUAAAGUUUCCAUCUUGGACAAGACUGACGUAACAGGGCUCUCAACUAUCCCCCUCUUUCCCCCCAAAUAAAAUCACUAUUUAGUAGAGAUACCCACAGUGAAAACAUGCAUGCUUUUAAUCAUGCAUUUUUAAUUGAGAUUAUAUCUAGAACAGCUUGCAAAACCUGCAGAUCUCUUGUCUGCAGCCUUACUUCCCAGUGCAGACUUUCUGUGGGUGACCAAUCACAGACUUCCCAAUGCAGCUCAAUGAGGAGUCUUUGCAAAACAGGUGCUCUGGGCAAUUGCUGCUUCUUGAGUUUAGCUCCACUGAGCUAAACAACCAGAAUGUAACAGAAACAAGUAACAGUUGUCUGACAGCCAGGUGGGUGUAAAAGGGUUAAUUUCUAUUGAAGUCUGCACUUUUUGUUAAAUGAAAUAAAGAGGACACACUCUUCGUAUAUUAAUCACUUCUGUAUGUGGAGUGAUCCUUUAGCUUUCAGAUACUUAUAUCUUAUAACAUUUGUUAGGAAAUGAAGUUAUUUGAAAUAUUUUUAUAAAAUAUAGGUGUUUCUUAAAGGAACACUAGAGGAUCAGGAACACACACAUGUAUUCCUGACUCUAGAAACACUAUCAAGCCCCGCCUGCCUCCCCCACUUUUCCCCUAAAUAUUGUAAAAUCUUACCUUAAUUCCAGUCUGCUGGUGCUGGCUCUGCCCCUGAUCUACCUCCUUGCAUGAGAUGAUAUCAGCCAAUCAUAAUGCUUUCCCAUAGGAAAUCAUCAAAUUGGCUGAGAUUGGUAGUUCUGAUGAUAUGAAGCCAAUGAGGCAUGCCCAGAGAGUAGCCAAACAUCACCCUUGCAAAUCAGCAUCUCAUCAUAGACAUGUAUUUAAUUAAUGCAUCUCAAUGAGGAAAGUUCAGUGUCACCAUGCAGAGGGUGGAGACACUGAGUGGCAGUGCUGCUCACUGUGCAGCACUGCCCCAGGGUGCACCUCUAGUAACCAUCUGAGGAGUGACCAGUGGAGGUAUUCCUAGGCUGUAAUGUAAACUGUCAGUAUAUUUUCACUGGCAGACAUUUUGUUUUAAGAAAGAAAUUAAAAAUGUAUACUGUAAGUCACCAGUUAGUAGACGUGACCAUCCAUUUUGUAUCACAAUGCAAAGACACACAUUUUUACUUCUCUGUACUCUAUUAAUUCAAGCCUGUGCAAGGGAAUACGCUAAUGUAAACACUGAGCAGACAUAAGACCUUAGGUCUGCAGCAAAGAGGGUUUGAUAAAAGCAACAGCCCAGAAAUAAAUAUUCUAUCCAUGAAUAUUCCAUAAUAUUAACUUAGGUACUAUUUAUAUAUGACUAAACAUAAUUAUAGUUAGUUUAUAUGUGGAUAUAUAUAUAUAUAUAUAUAUAUAUAUAUAUAUAUAUAUAUAUAUAUAUAUAUAUAUAUAUAUAUAUAUAUAUAUAUAUAUAUAUAUAUAUCCACAUAUAAACUGUCUCUAGCUAUCUAUCUAUUUAUCUAUCUCCACAUAUAAACUAACUAUAUUAUGUUUAAUCAUAUAUAAAUAGUACCAAAGUUAAUACUAUGGAAUAUUCAUGGAUAGAAUAUCAAUGAAGAAAUGUCAUAUUAUUAAACUAAUAUAGCUGAAUGUGUAAGAGACAUGUAUAUAUCACAUGCUGUCACAUUACUAACUAUGUAGCUUCACACAAGAAAACCAGACACAGGAUUACAGAUAACACUAAAGUAAUUAAUUUUACUUUGUAAAUAUUAUGGAUUGAUACAAAGUUCCAUUGUAAGGAAAGGUGAACAAGGGUUCAGUGAUGUCAAACUUUUAAUUUUAUGGACAAAAAUGAGACAGUCAGUCUAAAGAAAUUAUCUGAAGUCUGAUAGGUCUUUGACAAAAAUUAUGUCAAAUGCAUCACAAAAUUCAGUUAACCCCUUACACAAUGGAUAAUUGAAACUCCUGAAAAGAAUUUCUGGUGGUGUUGUUAUGCCAUCUACUGACCAAAAUCUAGAUGAUAGCCUGUAGGGAAGACACACCCACCUUACUUGAUUGGUCCUUGAGCCAAUUGACCUAAAUGAAGGUUCCCCUUUAAAAAUUAAGGGCAGAGGAGAAAGAGGGAGAUCUAACAUCUGGAGCCAAAGCUGGACACAUCUAACUCUCUUUAUCUUUUCCAACUAACACCUAACUUUAAAAUUCUUUAAAAUUCAGAACUCUGAAAACUUUUCAAUUUCCCACAAUACUCAUUCAUACUUGCAUUCACGAUUUUAUGGAAUACAUCUCCAAGCCUAAAAAAGAAAUUCUACCAAGAGCUGGUAAUUAUGCUUGUUUUAUUUAAUUAAAUUUAAUUUUUACAAAAAGCCAAAUGUACCAGGAUGAAGGUUGGUCAGGUUUCUAACUUAGAAAUCCUAAUUAGCUAAGAAAUAUAUAUAUAUAUAUAUAUAUAUAUAUAUAUAUAUAUAUAUAUAUAUAUAUAUAUAUAUAUAUUCCUGUUGGUGGAAUAAUUAAACAAUAUAUUCACUGGUAAUUUGCCAAAUUUAGAAUACUAAACUUUUAUGCAGAGAUAUUGACUUAUUCUAAAUUAAGGAUAGUAAUCUUUAAUUAGGAAAGUUAAAAUUCGGCUGAGAUGGGAAGGAAUGGUUAACUGAUCUGGUAUGAGAAAUAUUGUGUUUAUCAAAUUGCAAUAUAAAAGGGUAUUUUGCCUGUGAGGAUUGUAGUCGGUAGUGAUUGAAUUAACUCAGUGUAUUAAGACUGUCAGCCAAGGUUUUAAUUGCUUUAAGCUGUGCUGUGAAAAGUUCUCUUUGCUGUUUUAAGCUGUUUUAAGCUGUGCUGUGAAAAGAAUUGCCUUGCUGAUUUCAAAGUUAAGUGUCCUGUCAUAAAUCUUGUUGAAAUUUGCAUCUAUGUGGAUAUGUUGCUAUUUAGCCAUCUGUAAUUGUGCUAAAUCCUUUCCAUAUUGUAUACAUGUUGUACCUAAAUAUUCACUGAUUACUGUCAUGCAUGUAACAUACAUAUUAUUAUUAAUUAUUGUCACAAUCAGGCCCGGACUGGCCAUCGGGCACAACGGGCAAAUGCCCAGUGGGCCGUGAUGGCCGUGGGGCCGAGGCCGGCAGGGAGAACACAGGAUCUCACCGGCAGGCCCCUGCAGGGCCAGCACUAUGCGAGCGCCGGCCUUGCUGUGUGCUUCCAUGGGCCGGUGGGGAGAUCAAAGAUCUCCCUCACCGGCCCCGAGGCAGUUACAAGCGGCCGCCAGCUGGGGAGGGAGGGAGGCAGGAGGAGAGGACCGGCGGAGUUCUAUCCAGCAGCUCCGCUGGGUCACUCAGAUCUCAUGAGAGUGAACUCUAGCCUGCAGGCUAGAGUUCACUCUCACCACUAGCACCACCAGGGAAGGCAGCAUGGACCCCCUCAUGGCAGAACGCCCCCCUCACCCUCAAUAAAGGUAAGAAGGGAGGAUGACAAAACACACCCUCUCUUGCCCCGCCCCCUUCUUAGGGGGCCGCUCUGAUUGAAAAAUGCCCGGGCCUAAUAUUUUUCCCAGUCCGGCCCUGGUCACAAUAAAUAAUUUUUUUGCUCCAGGGUCUAUAAGAGUUGAAAAUAGUGGUUAGCUAUUAGCUUUAAAUUAAUUAAGGGGAACAGUGCCAAUAUACACAUUUUAUAUUUAAUUAAAGUUAUUACAUUAAAUUGAUAAUUUUUAUGAAAUAUUAUUUUUAAUAUUUAUCACCUCAUAAAUAUCCUCACAAAACACUGCAUUUUCUCUGAAAAGAGAGUGUUUAUUGAAAAAAGCCUGAAGUGAAUGAUUAUACUCCCCAGAACAAAUACAUUAAGCUGUAGUUGUUCUGAUGACUAUAGUGUCCCUUUAAUAAAUGCAGUUGCUCUAGGAAAAACAAAUGUUCUGCUACUCAAGCAAGCUCGAUCUGUUCUUUGCAUCAGGUAGCUAUAGGAUGACAUAUAUCUUUAUGUCACUGACCUGCAUUUUAGCUGAUUGUUAAAACAUAUUAAAACAUAUUUGCACAAUACUAAUUGGAAUUUUCUACUCUUUUACAGCAAGAAAAAGUCUACAUAAAUUUCCAGACACCACGCAAGAACAUGAAUCUCUAAUCUACAAUUACUGCCCAAAGUACACUGGAAAUACUUCAGUCUUUGAGCAAAUGUAUUUUUUCUGAACUUACAUUGUUGUUGUUUUUUUUAAUGUGGUUUUGCUAUAUCGUUUUUUUUUUUUUUUUCCUUCUGCAACUAUUGCAACUCUGCGAGUUACAAUAAAUUUAAACUGCUCUGUUUGAUUGUAAAUCUGAAGAAGAACAACUCCAGUAACUUUUUGUUUUGUUUUCCAAGAAAAUGAUCUUUCACUAUAUGGAGCACAUACUGUUACAUUAAACAAAACAAGUCAAAUGCAUUUAGGAUGCACAGUACAGAAUGCCAUGUAUUCCUCAUUCAUACUAUCUACUAAAUGUUGCAUUGUCCUCGAUAAUAUUUAAGAACAUUGCUACCUAUAAAUAAAUGCUCUGGUUUACUGGAUUUCUUUACUUGUAAACUUUCCAGAUUUUUAUGGCAUGGAAAAGUGAGUCCUUCUGAACAAAGUUGCUUGUCUGUUUCUAUAAGUACAUUGCAAUAUCUGUCCUGGCUUGGACUCAGCUAGGCUGUGAUUUCAUUUGCUAAAUCUUUUUAAUGUAGUGGUUCUGGUGUCUACAGUGAGUCCCUGCAGGCUUUUCAAUGUAGACACUGUCUAAUCUGAGAAAAGGCAGUGUUUAUGUUGCUGACUAGUAACACCUCUCAUUGCAG